rnacentral:rRNA from 1 species
CCCCACUGCUAUCGGGAUGGGACUAAGACAUGCUAGUCAAGCGCCUUCCAGCCAUGUGGAAGGUGCGGCGUACAGCUCAGUAACACGUGGCUAACCUGCCCUUAGGACGGGACCAACCCCGGGAAACUGGGGCUAAUCCCCGAUAGGUAAAGAACUCUGGAAUGAGCCUUUGCCGAAAAGGCGCCAGAUCAUGCUUCUGGCGUUGCCUAAGGAUGGGGCCGCGACCGAUCAGGUUGUUGGUGAGGUAAUGGCCCACCAAGCCUAUAACCGGUGCGGGCCGUGAGAGCGGGAGCCCGGAGAUGGGCACUGAGACAAGGGCCCAGGUCCUACGGGGCGCAGCAGUCGCGAAAACUUUGCAAUACACGAAAGUGUGACAGGGUCAUCCCGAGUGCCGACCGCUGAGGUUGGCUUUUACCCAGUCUAGAACGCUGGGGGAAUAAGGAGAGGGCAAGUCUGGUGU